GAUGAACGCUGGCAGAAUGCUUAACACAUGCAAGUCAACUUGAAUUUGGGUUUUUAUCUUAGGUUUGGGUGGCGGACGGGUGAGUAACGCGUAAAUAACUUGCCUCACAGCUAGGGACAACAUUUGUAAACGAAUGCUAAUACCUAAUAUUAUGAUAAUAGGGCAUCCUAUAAUUAUGAAAGCUAUAGGCGUUGUGAGAGAGCUUUGCGGCAAAUGAGCAAGUUGGAGAGGUAACGGCUCACCAAGGCGAUGAUGGGUAGCCGGCCUGGGAGGGAGACCCGUCACAAGGGCACACAGGAACGGACAUUAGUCAGACGUGAGGAAGGAGCGGGGAAUAUCCGGAACUGGACCGAGAGUGUGAUGAAGCAAUUCGGAGCGUAAGAUGAAGUUUUUCGGAAUGUAAAGUGCUUUAAGUUGGGAAGAAACUCAUGACGGUACCAACAGAAGAAGCGACGGCUAAAUACGUG
rnacentral:rRNA from 1 species